CAGCCUGGUUGGUAAUCAGGUGUUGAGUGUAAGUGCACAAGGGAGCUUGACUGUGAGACCGACGGGUCGAGCAGGGACGAAAGUCGGGACUAGUGAUCCGGCAGUGGCUUGUGGAAGCGCUGUCGCUCAACGGAUAAAAGGUACCCCGGGGAUAACAGGCUGAUCUUCCCCAAGAGUCCAUAUCGACGGGAUGGUUUGGCACCUCGAUGUCGGCUCGUCGCAUCCUGGGGCUGGAGUCGGUCCCAAGGGUUGGGCUGUUCGCCCAUUAAAGCGGUACGCGAGCUGGGUUUAGAACGUCGUGAGACAGUUCGGUCCCUAUCCGCUGUGCGCGUAGGAAUAUUGAGAAGGGCUGUCCCUAGUACGAGAGGACCGGGACGGACGAACCUCUGGUGUGCCAGUUGUCCUGCCAAGGGCAUGGCUGGUUGGCUACGUUCGGAAAGGAUAACCGCUGAAAGCAUCUAAGCGGGAAGCCUGCUUCGAGAUGAGUAUUCCCACCAACUUGAUUGGUUAAGGCUCCCAGUAGACGACUGGGUUGAUAGGCCAGAUGUGGAAGCCCGGUAACGGGUGGAGCUGACUGGUACUAAUAGGCCGAGGGCUUGUCCUCAGUUG
rnacentral:rRNA from 1 species